rnacentral:rRNA from 1 species
UAAAGAAUUUCGGUAUGGGAUGGGGAUGCGUUCCAUUAGUUAGUUGGCGGGGUAACGGCCCACCAAGACAACGAUGGAUAGGGGUUCUGAGAGGAAGGUCCCCCACAUUGGAACUGAGACACGGUCCAAACUCCUACGGGAGGCAGCAGUGAGGAAUAUUGGUCAAUGGACGAGAGUCUGAACCAGCCAAGUAGCGUGAAGGAUGACUGCCCUAUGGGUUGUAAACUUCUUUUAUAUGGGAAUAAAAUGUUCCACGUGUGGGAUUUUGUAUGUACCAUAUGAAUAAGGAUCGGCUAACUCCGUGCCAGCAGCCGCGGUAAUACGGAGGAUCCGAGCGUUAUCCGGAUUUAUUGGGUUUAAAGGGAGCGUAGGUGGAUUGUUAAGUCAGUUGUGAAAGUUUGCGGCUCAACCGUAAAAUUGCAGUUGAAACUGGCAGUCUUGAGUACAGUAGAGGUGGGCGGAAUUCGUGGUGUAGCGGUGAAAUGCUUAGAUAUCACGAAGAACUCCGAUUGCGAAGGCAGCUCACUGGACUGCAACUGACACUGAGGCUCGAAAGUGUGGGUAUCAAACAGGAUUAGAUACCCUGGUAGUCCACACAGUAAACGAUGAAUACUCGCUGUUUGCGAUAUACUGCAA